CAGUCGCCGCGGUAAUACGUAGGGUGCGAGCGUUAAUCGGAAUUACUGGGCGUAAAGCGUGCGCAGGCGGUUCGUUAAGACAGAUGUGAAAUCCCCGGGCUUAACCUGGGAACUGCAUUUGUGACUGACGGGCUAGAGUAUGGCAGAGGGGGGUAGAAUUCCACGUGUAGCAGUGAAAUGCGUAGAGAUGUGGAGGAAUACCGAUGGCGAAGGCAGCCCCCUGGGCCAAUACUGACGCUCAUGCACGAAAGCGUGGGGAGCAAACAGGAUUAGAUACCCCCGUAGUCCCUGUCUCUUAUAC
rnacentral:rRNA from 1 species